CGGGAUAUAACGCAGUUUGGUAGCGUGUCUGCCUUGGGAGUAGGAAGUCGUAGGUUCAAAUCCUACUAUCCCGA
rnacentral:tRNA from 1 species